UUAAGUUCAGCGGGUAGUCCUACCUGAUUUGAGGUCAAACAUUCAAAAGUUGUCCAUAGAGGACCGUUGUAAGCUGAACAGAUAGAGCGUUCAUCAUCUUUGGCGUAGAUAAUUAUCACACCAGUGACAGAUCGCAAACCGUUCCGCUAAUGCAUUUCAGGGGAGCUGACCUCUAUCGAGACCUGCACAAAACCCCCACA
rnacentral:misc_RNA from 1 species